GCCGGGCAUGGUGGUGCUCGCCUGUAAUCCCAGCUACUUGGGAGGCUGAGGCAGGAGAAUUGCUUGAAAUCAGGAGGCAGAGGUUGCAGUGAGCUAAGAUUACACCACUGCACUCUAGCCUGAGUGACAGAGCAAGACUCUGUCUCAA
rnacentral:SRP_RNA from 1 species